rnacentral:lncRNA from 1 species
CGCUUAUUGCAUAUACAGUACAGUAAUAAUCAAAUUAAACAAGAAAACAAAUCCAUCCAAACUUUUCCUCCGACGUGGUAACUACUCCGUAUAAAGUUCGCAGUGGCUAACAACAAUAGCACAAGGCUUCACUACUCUAGGAUAAAUGAGAAUUUUCAAAUAAUAUAACUAGCUGACCAUCAACAAUGCAAUUCAAACACUAUCGACCUAAUCAUCGCUAACAGAGUUCACAGUUGUACAAGCAUAUACUGUAUUUAAGUUUAAGGGUGCAUUUAGCAGAAAAUUAUUGGGAAAAUAUGACGGAGAUUGUUGUUUAAUUAGACAAUGCACAGUUCUGAACAUGGAUAUCCAGCGGCAGUCCUGUUAACUCCCUCAUUCCACUGUGUUCAAAAUCCAACUGUAAAGCUUCCAGGCUUCAAAUUGCUAGCAAAGUGGCAGAUACUUGGAACGAAAGGAAUAUAAGAUCUGAAUACAAGCAAACAGGAAAUGAUAUUAAUAACCAAAACUAUUGGGAAUAGAUGGAACAGAACGACCUUGACCUCAGCAAAAGUCAAAAAUAAAUCCAAGCUCGUUAAUUCACAAUGGCACGCCAUUAGUACGAAAGUGAUAGGAAAUGAUGAGGGUGCUUGGAUACGUUUUAGUCUCAUGACUAAAAGUAGUGGGACUAAAACUUGCUAGCUUCACCCAUGCUUGGAUCCAAAUACUAAAGAGACAAAAAUCAAAUUAAUGAGCAUUUAUUAUCCUCCAAACCCUUCAAUCCAGAACUCGCCUGUGUUAAAAGAAAGGAGUUAAAUGAGGAGAGAGAGGACUAAUCCACAUUUUAGCAGGGGUACCCUGACUAAAAAAAUUUAGCCUCAAGACUAGUUUUAGCCUCUCUUUAGUCAGGGGUGCUUGGAACUUUAGCCUCUUAAAGAGACUAUUUUUAGUCAGACUAAAAUAAGUCCCUUGGAUCCAAGCACCCUCUAUGCCCCCAUGGAGGAGAUUUGGCUCGAAGAUCUAUCAAUGAAAGAUGGCCAGCGCCAACACAGUGAAGUCUGCCUCUGCAUACGAGCCCCCUCUGACCUGCAGCUAUAGUUGUAGGAGUAUAUAAGUAUUGCCCUGGUUUUGCUUUCUUCUUUUUGGUUUUUUGAUACAAUAGUUUUUUUGGGUUUUGUUAGUAUAUGCUCUGGUUGGCUGCCUUUUCAGUUUAUUGGUUUGUUUGGUGUUAUUUUGUGAACUUCUGUACCUUCUCACCAUUCUUCUCAAGUUCUCGUACAUCUAAUACAAAACAGCAUGCAUGUUGAUACAUGUCCAAGAAAAAAGAAUGAUGCCAUAAUAUGCUAGAAAUCCACAAAACACAACAGUUAUGUUUUUGAGAAUGGUGCACAAAUCUCAACUAACCACUUGUCAUCUUAUCUGUAAUUCUAGCAGUACAUCAAUCAUACAGGAGGCACAGAACAAGAGCACCAAUUAACAAAGUGAUCCUUCAGCAACAAGGAAAAAUAAUGGGUUAAUUUGAUAAAUGCCACUCGAAUUCUGGCGAUUCCCAGAAAUGCCAUUGCAAUUUCCAAACUUUGAAAAAUGCCAUUUCCAGUGGCAUUUUCCAAAGUCUGCCGUGGCGUUUCUCAAAGUUUGGAAAUUGCAGUGGUGCUUCCCGGAAUCGCCAGAAUUUGAGUGGCAUUUAUCCAAUUAACCCAAAAAUAAAUUGGGUGUCUCCAUAGCAAAUCUAAUAAAUGGAAUCAAAGUUAAAAAUAGUGGUAGUUCCAAAUGCUUCCACAACUAAUUUACUGACUAUCACUUUCCUAGGUUCCUGACAAAAUAUUUCCCACAGUAGCUUUGCAUUUCAAAUAUCUAGCUGAACUCAUGGAUGAAGCGGAAACAAUGCUUCUUCUUUCCUAAAUUUGCUUCAACUUUUUUCUUUUCCCUUUUCCCUUUCCGACGUAACGAGUCUUUCAAGUUCAACCAAGACAACUUAUAUCCAAUUAUUAUUUUGUGGCUGCCUGCCAAUAUCUAUUACAUCACAGUGUUAUGUUACCCUACAGCUUAUGUCCAGUGGAUUUUGCAUGGCCUUAUAGGCAUAAAACCGUGACUGGAGAUGUUGUUAUCACACAUUAUUUAUGACAGAUUUACAUCACGAAUUUGUCAGCACCGUAGUUCAGAUUAUGAGCACGACACUCACGUUUGUAAUUUGUAAAGUGCAAUGUGACUUUUUAAUAAAUUCUCAGCUCCCCUAACAAGGUCAAGGUCAUACCUGAAGAGGUUCUCAUGUGGAAUGAUCAUAAGUAUUGUCUAGACAAGAUGGUCCGAGAGGUAACAGGAUAACUUGUGAGAUAUCACUAGAGGGUCCUGAAGUUUGUUAUCAUCGAAGGCUCAUGUGUCGACCUGUAUAUACAGCACAUAAUGGUAGCAACACAAAAUGUAUUCUUAGAGACGUGGACAUCUUUGCUAACAGGGCACCAGGCACACACAUGUUGAAGUAUUUCCGCCAUGCAAAAUUCAGAGACAUGGAUGCCAUGUCAGCGGAAACGUGGUCAUUUCAGGAUGUCAAGUAAGUAGUUUGGAGGCGAGGGAUAUCUACUGGACUCAUCCAGCAGCCUCAUGCUUCGCAAGGAGUUAAAGUAACACUAGUCAAGAACAGGUGUUUGGCCUUCAGAAGGGAAAGAGAAAAACAAACAUAGUGCGUUGCGCAAGCAGUUACCUAUGGUAGAUGUUGUAAGUCAAUUAGCCUUUAAUUACAGAAUUUUUUCCUAUGCAUGGACGAAGGACCUGAAAUAAAGGGAAUAUCACAAUUUGGCGAAGGUACAAAAUCUACCAUGCAACAAAGUUAUGUUUUGAACUGGAAACUGUUCACAUGGAUCUUACAAUGACAACAACACUAGUGACAAAAGCCUUGCAACCAUCUAAAAGUUAUCAUUUAGCAAAAACAGUACUCCAAAGUCAACAGAACGGACACAAGGGACACAAUUCUAUUACAAUCACAGUUAAAGCUGCAAUGUCAUUAAACAGUAGGGUUAAUCUUUCUGUUCAGGAACUACUGGACAAGAUAAGGUAGCUUAACCUUUUUCCCGAAGAGAUAAGAUAGCUUAACAUGAUGUGUUGUAUGCAGAGUCACCAAACUGGAGCAGCUUUAAUUGUGUAGGUGAACUGUUGGAUCUGAAGCAUUCUGCAUCGGUGGAGGACAGAAUGGAGCGGCUGUAGUUUCUUGGUCAGGACUCAC